GCCUCUUUGGUGUAGUGGUAGAGCACGCGUCCUCGGAUAGGAUGAAACGCGGAUUUAACUCCCGCUUGAGGUC